rnacentral:lncRNA from 1 species
CGGGCAGGACCGGAGCCAAAGGAUUAAUCCAUCACAAUGAGACGUUCUAUUCUGGGCAGGCGGCGCGAGCAGAUGCUGGGCGCCGGCGGAGGCAGCGUGCAGGGCUGGCGCUCACGCAGGCCGCCAGCACCCUGCGCUCCACCCCACCCUGCUCCCUAAUGAGAAGAGAGGAGCUGAACCCAGACAGCCGCUCCCUGUUGACGCCUUAGGCGUUUCAAAACUAGACUGGCCGGAGCCGAUGGAAUGUCUUGGUACCAUCACCAUUCCAUCCCAACCAUUUCUUGGAGACUUCCAUCCCUUCUUCUGAGAACUUCUCCUUGCCAACUCCAUCCACACAGCCACCAUAAGAGCUCUGUGUUAACACAGAGUGGCUCCAGCUCUUGGGCCGCAUUGUUGGGUACAGGAAUAGACCUCUCACUCAAGCGAAACCAAAGACCUGGCUCAGAAAACUUGGAAUCCCUACCAGGAGAUCCAAACUCAGCCUGGUUGUUCUACUGAUUUGAGAAAAUAUAAGUCUGGGAGCUGCUGUUGGCAAGCCACGUUUUCCUUCAUGGAGACUGGCAAACAAGGAAAGCUGGUCUGUGGCAGAGAGAGGAACAAGCCUGCAGAGAGGCACAGAGAUGUGAUACCAAGUGUAGUCCUGAGGCCCUGGGAGUCCCUGAUUUCAGUCCUUGGGAGAGUCAGCUGUACUUCUCUCCUUGAAUUAUUAAAUACCUGUGCAAUCCUUAUACUGCAUUCUCCCUUUUUUC